AUGGACACAGAAAGGAUCUACCUCAGUUUAAAACCACCCAGGACUCCGGGGGCUCAGCGUGUAUCACCCCGGUCUCUUCCCCCAGAUGCCUGUUGGUGCCCACGUUCACACAGGUUGGCUCUGAAGCUCAGCUGUGCUGGGCUCAUCCUCCUUGUCCUGACCCUAAUUGGGAUGAGUGUCUUAGUGGGAGUCUUAAUACAAAAAACAUCAAUAGAAAAAUGCCCCGUGUAUUUUCAAGAGAACCUGAACAAAACAUGAGAUUGUCCAGCUGAGUUAGAGUGUCCACAAAACUGGCUUUCACACCGAGAUAAGUGCUUUUGUGUUUCUCAAGUUUCUAACACUUGGAAGGAAGGUCAAGCUGACUGUGAUAGAAAAGGAGCCACUUUGCUGCUCAUUCAAGACCAAGAAGAACUG
rnacentral:lncRNA from 1 species